UCAACUGAAAUGCCUCAUUCCAUUUAAUUUCAUAGACUUGUCGUGUUGAAGUAUAUGACAUUACUUCUGUAUUGUGUAGAGUUUUUGGGAAUGCCUCAGUAGCUUCUGUGAGAAAACAACAACUCAGCUCGAAUAAAGUUUUUAUCUGAGUGAGAAUUUCUGAGCUUCCAUUUACUUCCUGUUUCCGUGAAGAGGUAUUCUGACAACUGCUUACAGUAUGUGCUACAAGCUGUAUCCCAACUGCAACGGCGGCGCUUCGCCCUAUUGCCACCCCCCGCGACUUUGCUGUGGCGGCUGUGGUCCUUGCAGUGGGUCGGGUCCUUGCUGCGGAUCUUGUGGACCAUGCUGUGGAGGCUGCGGCCCAUUUUGUUAAAAUAAAUCUUCAGAACGAAAUCUAGGUACUGCACCGCUUAAGUAAUUAACCAUUUACGUGUAUGUUCUAUCUGUGCACUUUAUAGUCUCUUUUUAAACAUAUAGUUCUAAAGAGUUAGAUAUAAACACAAAAAUAAAUAAAGUAUUCACUCGAUAAA